GAUGAACGCUAGCGGCAGGCUUAAUACAUGCAAGUCGAGGGGCAGCAUGAGUGUAGCAAUACAUCUGAUGGCGACCGGCAAAACGGGUGCGGAACACGUACACAACCUUCCUAUAAGUGGGGAAUAGCCCAGAGAAAUUUGGAUUAAUACCCCGUAACAUAAUGAUGUGGCAUCACAUUAUUAUUAUAGCUACGGCGCUUAUUGAUGGGUGUGCGGCUGAUUAGAUAGUUGGCGGGGUAACGGCCCACCAAGUCUACGAUCAGUAGCUGAUGUGAGAGCAUGAUCAGCCACACGGGCACUGAGACACGGGCCCGACUCCUACGGGAGGCAGCAGUAAGGAAUAUUGGUCAAUGGACGCAAGUCUGAACCAGCCAUGCCGCGUGAAGGAUUAAGGUCCUCUGGAUUGUAAACUUCUUUAUCUGGGACGAAAAAAGGCGAUUCUUCGUCACUUGACGGUACCAGAUGAAUAAGCACCGGCUAACUCCGU
rnacentral:rRNA from 1 species